ACUCAAAGGAAUUGACGGGGGCCCGCACAAGCAGCGGAGCGUGUUGCUUAAUUCGAUGCAACGCGAAGCACCUUACCCAGGCUUGACAUGCCCCUGGUACCGAGCCGAAAGGCGAGGGACCCGCAAGGGAGGGGGCACAGGUGCUGCAUGGCUGUCGUCAGCUCGUGCCGUGAGGUGUUGGGUUAAGUCCCGCAACGAGCGCAACCCCCGUCCCCAGUUGCCGUUUCUGGGGAGACUGCCGGGCGAACCCCGGAGGAAGGUGGGGACGACGUCAAGUCCGCAUGGCCCUCACGUCUGGGGCGGCAAACACGCUACAAUGGCCGGCACAGCGGGACGCGACCACGCGAGUGGGAGCCAAUCCCCCAAACCCGGCCUCAGUUCAGAUGGUAGGCUGCAACUCGCCUGCCUGAAGUCGGAGUUGCUAGUAACCGCGCGUCAGCACAGUGCGGUGAAUGCGUUCCCGGGCCUUGUACACACCGCCCGU
rnacentral:rRNA from 1 species